AUGGCUAUGCUCACAUGCUCCCAUAAACAUGGCCAUCCCUUCCUCGUUAUGAGCAUAUCCAUCAUCUGUUCCCAAGCACAAUCAAGUUACCAAAAGUAGAGGAACUGAAACAAAGAGGCGGAAGAAAGGGGUCCGUACGAGGAUAUCUUCCGACGAAGAAACUUCAAUUACAAGCUACAGAUAACGAGAGAGACUAUCAAACUUCAUCUCUUUAUCUAUUCACUGUUUUUUCUCUGAUGGAAUUCCAGAAAUCGAGGCCAGAGAGAGAAAGAGAGCACCGAGCGACUAGAGUAUGCGGCAUAUGUAUGUGUGUGUCUGUGUACAUAUAUAUAUAUGCCUGACGAAAAGUCACGUGAUGGUUGGGUGUGGCACGUGACGUAAGCCGCGGGGCCACCAGCUUCGUAUGAUGUUAGAAAUCCGCCGGCGAAGCGAAGAAAACAGUUGGAUUCUCUUGGUCGGUCAAUCAAUAAAUGUUUUAGUAAAUGAAAGAGAUUAAAAUACAUGUUCUGUUCCGAAAGAGGUUUUCGAGAUCUGAUUGUUUAUGACUGAAAUUGCUUUUCAUUGGCUCA